AGGUAGGCAUUUGUAUGGGUUACCUUCAGACGUGUGGAGUGGAGAGAGACGGUAGGCAUUUGUAUGGGUUACCUUCAGACGUGUGGAGUGGAGAGAGAAGGUAGGCAUUUGUAUGGGUUACCUUCAGACGUGUGGAGUGGAGAGAGACGGUAGGCAUUUGUAUGGGUUACCUUCAGACGUGUGGAGUGGAGAGAGACGGUAGGCAUUUGUAUGGGUUACCUUCAGACGUGUGGAGUGGAGAGAGAAGGUAGGCAUUUGUAUGGGUUACCUUCAGACGUGUGGAGUGGAGAGAGACGGUAGGCAUUUGUAUGGGUUACCUUCAGACGUGUGGAGUGGAGAGAGAAGGUAGGCAUUUGUAUGGGUUACCUUCAGACGUGUGGAGUGGAGAGAGAAGGUAGGCAUUUGUAUGGGUUACCUUCAGACGUGUGGAGUGGAGAGAGAAGGUAGGCAUUUGUAUGGGUUACCUUCAGACGUGUGGAGUGGAGAGAGAAGGUAGGCAUUUGUAUGGGUUACCUUCAGACGUGUGGAGUGGAGAGAGAAGGUAGGCAUUUGUAUGGGUUACCUUCAGACGUGUGGAGUGGAGAGAGAAGGUAGGCAUUUGUAUGGGUUACCUUCAGACGUGUGGAGUGGAGAGAGAAGGUAGGCAUUUGUAUGGGUUACCUUCAGACGUGUGGAGUGGAGAGAGAAGGUAGGCAUUUGUAUGGGUUACCUUCAGACGUGUGGAGUGGAGAGAGAAGGUAGGCAUUUGUAUGGGUUACCUUCAGACGUGUGGAGUGGAGAGAGAAGGUAGGCAUUUGUAUGGGUUACCUUCAGACGUGUGGAGUGGAGAGAGAAGGUAGGCAUUUGUAUGGGUUACCUUCAGACGUGUGGAGUGGAGAGAGAAGGUAGGCAUUUGUAUGGGUUACCUUCAGACGUGUGGAGUGGAGAGAGAAGGUAGGCAUCCAAAAAUCAUGUUAAUCCCUAUUAUUGCACACAGAGUGAGUCCAUGCAACUUAUUAUGUGACUUGUUCAGCACAUUUCUAUUCCAGACUGUAUUUUGGCUUGCCAUAACAAAGGGGGGGGGGGGGUUGAAUACUUA